rnacentral:misc_RNA from 1 species
GAAAUGCGAUAAGUAGUGUGAAUUGCAGAAUUCAGUGAAUCAUCGAAUCUUUGAACGCACAUUGCGCCCUUUGGUAUUCCUUAGGGCAUGCCUGUUCGAGCGUCAUCUAAACCCUCAAGCUCUGCUUGGUGUUGGGCGCCUGUCCCCGCUCGCGGUGGACUCGCCUCAAAGACAUUGGCGGCCGGUACGUUGGCUUCGAGCGCAGCAGAAACGCGAACUCGGAGCCCACGGAUCGGCGACCAGAAGUACCUUUCUUCACAGUUUGACCUCGGAUCAGGUAGGGAUACCCGCUGAACUUAA